rnacentral:misc_RNA from 1 species
AAGUCGUAACAAGGUUUCCGUAGGUGAACCUGCGGAAGGAUCAUUAAUGAAUUUGUCUUUUCAAGACCCUUUCUAUACCCUUUGUUUACCUUACCACGUUGCUUCCACUGGACAGGUCAAUUCUGACCCUUUGGCUUGUCUUUUUAAGACUUGCUGGGGAGUGCCGGUGGAUGACUCAAACCAAAAACUUAAACCGAAAUUUACUUUGUCUGAAUCAUUUUAUAAAUUAUUAUAAAACUUUCAACAACGGAUCUCUAGGCUCUU